UACGUAGGGUGCGAGCGUUAAUCGGAAUUACUGGGCGUAAAGCGCGCGCAGGCGGUUCGUUGUGUCCGAUGUGAAAGCCCCGGGCUUAACCUGGGAAUGGCAUUGGAAACUGGCGAGCUUGAGUGCGGCAGAGGGGGGUGGAAUUCCACGUGUAGCAGUGAAAUGCGUAGAGAUCGGGAGGAACAUCAGUUGCGAAGGCGGCUCUCUGGACCAGCACUGACACUGAGGCACGAAAGCGUGGGGAGCAAACAGG
rnacentral:rRNA from 1 species